rnacentral:rRNA from 1 species
GCAUAACGCGAAGAACCUUACCAGGGCUUGACAUCCCUCUGAACCCUCUAGAGAUAGAGGUUCUCUUCGGAGCAGAGGUGACAGGUGGUGCAUGGUUGUCGUCAGCUCGUGUCGUGAGAUGUUGGGUUAAGUCCCGCAACGAGCGCAACCCUUGUCCUUAGUUGCCAGCAUUUAGUUGGGCACUCUAAGGAGACUGCCGUCGACAAGACGGAGGAAGGUGGGGAUGACGUCAAAUCAUCAUGCCCCUUAUGUCCUGGGCUACACACGUGCUACAAUGGAUGGUACAACGGGCUGCGAACUCGCGAGAGCAAGCCAAUCCCAAAAAACCAUUCUCAGUUCGGAUUGUAGGCUGCAACUCGCCUACAUGAAGUCGGAAUCGCUAGUAAUCGCGGAUCAGCAUGCCGCGGUGAAUACGUUCCCGGGUCUUGUACACACCG